GGCCAGAUAGUACAGUGGUUAGUGCGCCGAUGUUUGAUGGAGCUAAUGCAGUAUUCGAUCCGCUACCCUCGUUCGACUCAGGGUCUGGCCU